rnacentral:rRNA from 1 species
UACAGAGGGUGCAAGCGUUAAUCGGAAUUACUGGGCGUAAAGCGUGCGUAGACGGUUAUUUAAGUCAGGUGUGAAAGCCCCGGGCUCAGCCUGGGAAUUGCAUUUGAGACUGAAUAGCUAGGGUGCGGAAGAGGGAAGCGGAAUUUCCGGUGUAGCGGUGAAAUGCGUAGAUAUCGGAAGGAACACCAGUGGCGAAAGCGGCUUCCUGGUCCAGCACCGACGUUCAGGCACGAAAGCGUGGGGAGCAAACAGG